GGAGGCGCCUAGUGAGGGUCAGGGAGGCCCGGCCCGCGCCCUCCCCGCCCAGCCGCCUCCCCGUCGACCACCCAGGGCUGGGGCGAGCCAGGCUGCCUUUCGAACUUGGGGGCUUCUCCUCUUGUCUCCCACUGGUGCUCUGGCCGUGAAUCCAUCCAGGCGCCAGGAGAUGACAAUCCGGUACCAAGGCCGGCAGUACAGGCUGAGGAUGGCAUUUCUCCAAAAGGUUUCCAAGCUGCGUCCUGGGCCUGGAGACUGAGACAGAGAUCCACGGACUGCAGUGCAGGCAGCCCACCCCAGAUCCGAGUCAUAUAAGUUUUUUUUCCCCCGAUGGAGUGAAGUGGUGCGAUCUUGGCUCACUGCAACCUCCACCCCCGGGUUCAAGCGAUUCUCCUGCCUUAGCCUCUGGAGUAGCUGGAAUUACAGGUGCCUGCCACCAUGCCUGGCUAAUUUUUAUAUUAUUAGUAGAGAUGGGGUUUUGCCAUGUUGGCCAGGCUGACCUCGAACGCCUGACCUCAGGUGAUCCACCCGCUUUGGCCUCCCAAAGUGCUACGAUUAUAGAUGUGAGCCACCGUGCCCAGCCCAGUGAUGACCCUUUUAUGUAGCAUUUGUUUGAGGCCUCAGGAAAUAGUUGUGGAGAAGUCAGGAUUCUGGGAGAACUGGGCAGCUGUGCUCUGGUAAACAGUGGUGGGGUGGGGUGGGGAGGUGAUGGUAUGGGGAAGGAGUUGAAAUAUCAGUAAAAAACAUGCAGACCCAAAGAUGGGGACCAAAAUCCAAAGCCAGAGGGUCCUGGAAAUCAGAGGGUCUUACAACAUAACAGGCAGUACAGGCCAUGGCUCAGGCUAGGCGUGGAACAGACUGCAGUUCUCUUCUACAAAUCAAUCUAGACUGGACAGACAGAACUCCAAGGGAGGAAAGAAAAAUGAAUCUGAUGUUACUUCUUGAAACCACAUUUUCUGAAGUCACCAUUUUUAUGUAUCUAUCAACUCAUCAUUUUUAUGUAUAUAUCAAUAUGAUUUUAUGAUCUUAUUUUUUCCUACUAAUGUGAUGAAUUACCUUGAUUGAUUUU
rnacentral:lncRNA from 1 species